UCGUGUCGUGAGAUGUUGGGUUAAGUCCCGCAACGAGCGCAACCCUUGAACUGUGUUACCAGCACGUGAAGGUGGGGACUCACAGUUGACUGCCGGCGUAAGUCGGAGGAAGGCGGGGAUGACGUCAAAUCAUCAUGCCCUUUAUGUCCUGGGCUACACACGUGCUACAAUGGGCGGUACAACGGGAAGCGAGACCGCGAGGUGGAGCAAACCCCUGAAAGCCGUUCGUAGUUCGGAUUGCAGGCUGCAACUCGCCUGCAUGAAGCCGGAAUUGCUAGUAAUCGCGGAUCAGCAUGCCGCGGUGAAUCCGUUCCCGGGCCUUG
rnacentral:rRNA from 1 species